rnacentral:lncRNA from 1 species
UUCUGAGACACGUUAAUGUCUACAAAACAUUAGGAAGCCGGAGGCGAUCUUGUCACACAGAUGUUGAGAGGUUAUCGUGAUGCCUCUGCUGUUAUUUCACGGGUUUUAUGGUACCACGCCACACAUCGCAUACUCUCUAGCCAGGGAACGCAAUGGAGAUUGUUGUGCCUGCUUGCAAGGUCUGGAGCCAGGGCAGCCGUAUUGGGCCCAGGAGGGAAGAUAUCCAAGAAAUACAUGCUGAGAAUAGCAGCACUAAAAAUGGAAAGAGCCUCAGCUAUUCACCAUGUCACUGGCUUGCCGAAUGACCAACCCCAGAGCUUCUCUACCUUGGAACUUCUUGUGAUGUACGUUGAUAAACCCCUGGUAGCUCACCCCAGCUGGGGUUGAAUCUUCUGUUUCCUGCAGCUGAAGGCAUUCCAUCUGGCUUGCUUCUCUCACGUGAUUGACCCAUUGUCUUCCUGGUGGCUAAGAAACAUGACUUUCUCAUGCCAACAGUGACCAUGAGCACUGCAUCAGACCAGGCCCCACGGCUGAUACAAGGAGUUCCCAGGAGACAAAGCCCUGUCUUGGGAAGUGAGGUUAGAGAGACAAGACAGAGGGGCGUGGGAAGUUGACAGCAAACCUAGAGCAGUCACAAGGACAAGGAACGGGGCAGUGAGUGCUCUGGCACCUCAUGGUUCACAGUGGGCCAGACUGUGGGGGCACCAGGGAGGGCUUCCAAAUAGUCAUAGCAAAGGAUCUUUCUGCAUCUGAUUACCAACUCCUUCACUGUUCUACCAUUCUUUAAGGAGGCCCCACGUGGAACUGGCGUAUUUCUUACAUGGAUGGCUGUCCUCCCUAGACCAUGGUUGAUUCUGACCUACAGAACAUUUCCAUCAUCACCCUAAGUUCUAUCAGAAGGCACUGCCUUUG